rnacentral:rRNA from 1 species
GGGUGAAGGAACUAGGCAAAAUGGUACCGUAACUUCGGGAGAAGGUACGCUCUCGACGGUGAAGUCCCUCGCGGAUGGAGCUAUUGAGAGUCGCAGAUACCAGGUGGCUGCAACUGUUUAUUAAAAACACAGCACUGUGCAAAAUCGUAAGAUGACGUAUACGGUGUGACGCCUGCCCGGUGCCGGAAGGUUAAUUGAUGGGGUUAGACUU